UAAGGAAUAUUGGUCAAUGGAGGCAACUCUGAACCAGCCAUGCCGCGUGCAGGAAGACCGCCCUCUGGGUCGUAAACUGCUUUUAUCUGGGAAUAAACCUACUUACGUGUAAGUAGCUGAAUGUACCAGAAGAAUAAGGAUCGGCUAACUCCGUGCCAGCAGCCGCGGUAAUACGGAGGAUCCAAGCGUUAUCCGGAUUUAUUGGGUUUAAAGGGUGCGUAGGCGGCCUGUUAAGUCAGGGGUGAAAGACGGUAGCUCAACUAUCGCAGUGCCCUUGAUACUGACAGGCUUGAAUGAACUAGAGGUAGGCGGAAUGUGACAAGUAGCGGUGAAAUGCAUAGAUAUGUCACAGAACACCGAUUGCGAAGGCAGCUUACUAUGGUUUUAUUGACGCUGAGGCACGAAAGCGUGGGGAUCAAACAGG
rnacentral:rRNA from 1 species